CUUGGAACUUGGCCUUGAAGGAGCUCCGGCUUGGGACCUUGGACUGCUCUUUAAUUUUCCCUUACAACUACUACAUGGGAAUAUUUUAUUGAAGAACUUAGAAACUCUAGGAAUUAGGAUUAUUUAACCAAGAGAAGAAAAGGCUGAAGGAGCUCUUGACAGUUAUCAAACAUCUAAAGGGAUGUCCAUCUUGUUCUGUCUGGCCCAAGAGAAAAAUCAGGAUGAGUAGGAAGGUGUCAAGAGGCAAAUUUAUACUUGAUGGUCAAGAAAAACUUGCUAGCAAAUAGAGCUGUCCCAAAGAGAAAUGGGCCACCUUGGAGGGAAAUGGCUUCUUCAUCCCCCUUGGAAGUCUUUAAGCAAUGGCUAAAAGACCAUUCUCAGGGAGGAGGACUAUGAAGGUUCUAGUAUUCCCUACACAUCGUGGCCCGGGAUCAGACCAAUCAGUGUGGUUGGCAUCUCCAGGAACAUGUGUAAAGGCAGAAUCAGCUGGCAGCAUCAGUAUUCCAGACUAGGGUCCCGAAAACAGGUCCAGAAGCAGGGUUUCUCUUCUAGCAAGACACAUGCCAGCAAGACACCCUGGCUCUGAGGUUCUCUGGAAAUCCUCUAUAAAUACUUCAUAGGUGUGGUUGGGAAAUUACCUUAACCACACGUUUCAAGCGUGUUCAGCUGGCAUAUCAGAUUGAGGGCCCUAGUUCAGUCCUGUUCUCCUUUGGAGUGAGGGAGGGGACCCAUUCAGCUGCAGCAGCCAAACUCUCAGAGGGUUUGUUUUCCCCAUUCCUACUCUGCCCAUUUCAGCUUCACAGUCACUUCCAAAUGACUUCCAGAUGAUUUCUGGUUACCAGGGGAAUAGAGAACAUUUGUGCCAUUUAUAAAUAUAGCAAUGGUCACAUAGACAUCAUUAGUGAAUAAUCAAAUAAAGUAUAAAUUUCCAGGAAAAGAAAAGGCCCUUUGGGGGGUAAUCUCAGGAAAAAGACACAAGAAAUGUUUUGUUUUGUUUUUUAAUAUUUACCUAAACAUAAAAAAAAAAUAUUCUCCAUUGUCUGGCUAAUAAUGGGAAGAACUUGAAUGCCAGGCAAAAGUCCUGAAUUCUUUACCACACCUUUGUGGCUUUGGGAAAGUCCUGUAAUGACUCUGGGCUUCACAAUCUUCCUCUGGAAAGGGAGGCUGGACCUCCAAGUGUACAAUGAUAAUAAUAAUAGCUCACAAUCAUAGAAUGCCAUAAGAUUUACAAAACACAAAACCUAUUAUUUCAUGGAACAGUGAAUAAAGAGUUGGCCUUGGAGUCAGAAAGACCCUUGGACCGACUUCCUCCUUGGACAGAUGGCUGUGUGACCCAAGAUAAGUCAUUUAACCUCUUGCUUACCCCAGGCAACUCUCUAGGACUAUAAACUAUGGAGAAUCUGCCACUUUACCUUGAAAGUUUUUAUCUAUACCAGCAAAAUCAGGUCAGAAAAAAAAUCUUAUAAAAUAACAUGUUCUGAGAAUCUUUAUUUCUAAGUAAUAAUAAAAAAAAAUAC